ensembl:snRNA LOC120102125 U4 spliceosomal RNA
AGCUUUGCGCAGUGGCAGUAUCGUAGCCAAUGAGGUUUAUCCGAGGCGUGAUUAUUGCUAAUUGAAAACUUCUGAUAGCUAGGCCCUCACAUUGUAAGUAGCAGAUGUGUGGCCCAGUCUUCAGGUGGGUCCCGAACAAAUGGAGUGGGGGCUAUCCA